rnacentral:rRNA from 1 species
GAUGAACGCUGACAGAAUGCUUAACACAUGCAAGUCUACUUGAUUCUACUUCGGUAGUUGAUGGUGGCGGACGGGUGAGUAACGCGUAAAGAAUCUGCCCUUUAGUUUGGGAUAACCUUUGGAAACGAAGGCUAAUACCGGAUAUUAUGGAGACGUCGCAUGGCGACUCCAUGAAAGCUAUAUGCGCUAGAGGAGGACUUUGCGUCCCAUUAGUUAGUUGGUGAGGUAAUGGCUCACCAAGACCGCGAUGGGUAGCCGGCCUGAGAGGGUGAUCGGCCACAAGGGAACUGAGACACGGUCCUUACUCCUACGGGAGGCAGCAGUGGGGAAUAUUGCACAAUGGAGGGAACUCUGAUGCAGCGACGCCGCGUGAGUGAAGAAGGUCUUCGGAUCGUAAAACUCUGUCCUUGGUGAAGAAAAGGACGGUAGCCAAGGAGGAAGCCCCGGCUAACUACGUGCCAGCCGCCGCGGUAACAC